ACAGGGAUUGCCCUAGUAACGGCGAGUGAAGCGGCAACAGCUCAAAUUUGAAAUCUGGCUUCGGCCCGAGUUGUAAUUUGCAGAGGAUGUUUAUGGUGCGGUACCUUCCGAGUUCCCUGGAACGGGACGCCACAGAGGGUGAGAGCCCCGUCUGGUUGGAUACCAAACCUGUGUUAAACUCCUUCAACGAGUCGAGUAGUUUGGGAAUGCUGCUCUAAAUGGGAGGUAAAUCUCUUCUAAAGCUAAAUACUGGCCAGAGACCGAUAGCGCACAAGUAGAGUGAUCGAAAGAUGAAAAGCACCUUGAAAAGGGGGUUAAACAGUACGUGAAAUUGUUGAAAGGGAAGCGUUUAUGACCAGACUUGUGUCGUGUGGCUCAUCCGAGGUUCUCCCCGGUGCACUCCACGCGGCUCAGGCCAACAUCGGUUCUUGUUGGAGGAUAAGAACAGUAGGAACGUAGCUCUCCUUCGGGGGAGUGUUAUAGCCUAUUGUACGAUACUCUGACGGGGACCGAGGACCGCGCUUCGGCUAGGAUGUUGGCGUAAUGGUCAUUAGCGACCCGUCUUGAAACACGGACCAAGGAGUCGUCCAUUAGAGCGAGCGUUUGGGUGUAAAACCCGCACGCGUAAUGAAAGUGAAAUUAGGUGAGAGCUUCGGCGCAUCAUCGACCGAUCCUGAAGUUUACGGAUGGAUUUGAGUAAGAGUUUUAACGGACGGACCCGAAAGACAGUGAACUAUGCUUGAAUAGGGUGAAGCCAGAGGAAACUCUGGUGGAGGCUCGCAGCGGUUCUGACGUGCAAAUCGAUCGUCAAAUUUGAGCAUGGGGGGCGAAAGACUAAUCGAACUGUCUAGUAGCUGGUUACCG
rnacentral:rRNA from 1 species